GUCAUCCUACGGGGGGCAGCAGUGAGGAAUAUUGGUCAAUGGGCGGUAGCCUGAACCAGCCAAGUAGCGUGAAGGAUGAAGGUUCUAUGGAUUGUAAACUUCUUUUAUAAAGGAAUAAAGUGAGGCACGUGUGCCUUUUUGUAUGUACUUUAUGAAUAAGGAUCGGCUAACUCCGUGCCAGCAGCCGCGGUAAUACGUAGGAUCCGAGCGUUAUCCGGAUUUAUUGGGUUUAAAGGGAGCGUAGAUGGGUUGUUAAGUCAGUUGUGAGAGUUUGCGGCUCAACCGUAAAAUGCAAAU
rnacentral:rRNA from 1 species